rnacentral:rRNA from 1 species
CAGUAGCCACGGGAAAACGAAGGGGGCUAGCGUUGUUCGGAUUUACUGGGCGUAAAGCGCACGUAGGCGGACUUUUAAGUCAGGGGUGAAAUCCCGGGGCUCAACCCCGGAACUGCCUUUGAUACUGGGAGUCUUGAGUUCGAGAGAGGUGAGUGGAAUUGCGAGUGUAGAGGUGAAAUUCGUAGAUAUUCGCAGGAACACCAGUGGCGAAGGCGGCUCACUGGCUCGAUACUGACGCUGAGGUGCGAAAGCGUGGGGAGCAAACAGGAUUAGAGACCCCGUAGUCCCUGUCUCUUAUACA